AUUGAACGCUGGCGGCAGGCCUAACACAUGCAAGUCGAACGAGUGGUGGACAGGUGAGUACUGUCUGGGAAACUGCCUGAUGGAGGGGGAUAACUACUGGAAACGGUAGCUAAUACCGCAAACCAUCAGAUGUGCCCAGAUGGGAUUAACUAGUUGGUGGGGUAACGGCUCACCAACGCGAAGAUCCCUAGCUGGUCUGAGAGGAUGACCAGCGACACUGGAACUGAGCCACGGUCCAGACUCCUACGGGAGGCAGCAGUGGGGAAUAUUGCACAAUGGGAGCAAGCCUGAUGCAGCCAUGCCGCGUGUAUGAAGAAGGCCUUCGGGUUGUAAAGUACUUUCAGCGGGGAGGCGUUACCCGCAGAAGAAGCACCGGGUAACUCCGUGCCAGCAGCCGCGGUAAUUC
rnacentral:rRNA from 1 species